AUGCGUGGAGGCCAUUGCCAUAAGGAGUUCCAUGUCCGAGUCUUCGAUAAGGUGCGUCAUCGUCGACAACAUGGAGGCGAGUCACCGGCGAGUUGUGUCACCGGUGAUGAGCAUGGAGGCAAGUCACCGGCGAGUUGUGUCACCGGUGGUGAGCAUGGAGGCGAGUCACCGGCGAGUUGCGGCACCGGUGGCAAACAUGCGGCAGCGAGCAUGCCACGGCGGUGCGCUCGUGGUGAAGGCGCGGGAGGUGUGGCUCUCAUCUAGGCCAAUACGAUGGCGGCAAUCGGCGUGACAAGAUGGCAUUGGCGGCCGUCUGUGUGAUGCGUCGACGACGUCAACAACCAUUGGCUUCAAGAGAGAAAUAAGUUAACAAGAUUAGGGAGGUGA
rnacentral:rRNA from 1 species